rnacentral:rRNA from 1 species
CGCGCGAUACAGGGUGACAGCCCCGUACACAAAAGCGCAUGUGCUGUGAGCUCGAUGAGUAGGGCGGGACACGUGGUAUCCUGUCUGAAUAUGGGGGGACCAUCCUCCAAGGCUAAAUACUCCUGACUGACCGAUAGUGAACCAGUACCGUGAGGGAAAGGCGAAAAGAACCCCGGCGAGGGGAGUGAAAAAGAACCUGAAACCGUGUACGUACAAGCAGUGGGAGCCCCACCACUAAGCCAGUGGUGAACUCCACAUACGCAUCCUUUGCUGAGGAUAAGGUUAACGGAGCGAAAGCGACGUUCAACCGCAAAAGAAGCAGAGGGGGCUUAGUGGUGGGGUGACUGCGUACCUUUUGUAUAAUGGGUCAGCGACUUAUAUUCUGUAGCAAGGUUAACCGUAUAGGGGAGCCGCAGGGAAACCGAGUCUUAACCGGGCGUUAAGUUGCAGGGUAUAGACCCGAAACCCGGUGAUCUAGCCAUGGGCAGGUUGAAGGUUGGGUAACACUAACUGGAGGACCGAACCGACUAAUGUUGAAAAAUUAGCGGAUGACCUGUGGCUGGGGGUGAAAGGCCAAUCAAACCGGGAGAUAGCUGGUUCUCCCCGAAAGCUAUUUAGGUAGCGCCUCGUGAAUUCAUCUCCGGGGGUAGAGCACUGUUUCGGCUAGGGGGCCAUCCCGGCUUACCAACCCGAUGCAAACUGCGAAUACCGGAGAAUGUUAUCACGGGAGACA